rnacentral:rRNA from 1 species
GUAGGUGGCAAGCGUUGUCCGGAAUUAUUGGGCGUAAAGCGCGCGCAGGCGGUUUUUUAAGUCUGAUGUGAAAGCCCACGGCUCAACCGUGGAGGGUCAUUGGAAACUGGAGAACUUGAGUACAGAAGAGGAAAGCGGAAUUCCACGUGUAGCGGUGAAAUGCGUAGAGAUGUGGAGGAACACCAGUGGCGAAGGCGGCUUUCUGGUCUGUAACUGACGCUGAGGCGCGAAAGCGUGGGGAGCAAACAGGGAUUAGAUACCCUGGUAGUCCACGCCGUAAACGAUGAGUGCUAAGUGUUAGGGGGUUUCCCGCCCCCUUAGUGCUGCAGCUAACGCAUUAAGCACUCCGCCUGGGGAUACGGCCGCAAGGCUG